GCUNNCAGGCUUUAAGCGUAGUAAUUCUUCUCGCUACAGGGUCCUGGUGGAGGCUUGCCAACAACCCUAAAUUUUCAAAGGUUGACCUCGGAUCAGGUAGGGAUACCCGCUGAACUUAAGCAUAUCAAUAAGCGGAGGAAAAGAAACCAACAGGGAUUACCUCAGUAACGGCGAGUGAAGCGGUAACAGCUCAAAUUUGAAAUCUGGCUCUUUCAGGGUCCGAGUUGUAAUUUGUAGAAGAUGCUUCGGGUGUGGCUCCGGUCUAAGUUCCUUGGAACAGGACGUCAUAGAGGGUGAGAAUCCCGUAUGUGACUGGUUGCCUUCGCCCAUGUGAAGCUCUUUCGACGAGUCGAGUUGUUUGGGAAUGCAGCUCUAAAUGGGUGGUAAAUUUCAUCUAAAGCUAAAUAUUGGCCAGAGACCGAUAGCGCACAAGUAGAGUGAUCGAAAGAUGAAAAGCACUUUGGAAAGAGAGUUAAACAGUACGUGAAAUUGUUGAAAGGGAAGCGCUUGCAACCAGACUUGCACGCCGUCGAUCAUCUCAGGUUCUCCUGGGUGCACUCGGCGGUGUUCAGGCCAGCAUCGGUUUCGGUGGUUGGAUAAAGGCCUUGGGAAUGUGGCUCCUCUCGGGGAGUGUUAUAGCCCUCGGUGCAAUGCAGCCUACCGGGACCGAGGACCGCGCUUCGGCUAGGAUGCUGGCGUAAUGGUUGUAAGCGAC
rnacentral:rRNA from 1 species